CGAUACAGGAGGACGUCUCCCACCGCAGAUCAAUGCGCCGCCGCCACAGACCAGGUCUCCUUCCUCUUCUUCGAUCCAAGGCAAUCUCUUUCCUGUUCUUUAGUCCAAUCCUUCUAUUUCCUGAUCCAAUCCUUCUUUAACCUGAAACUGUCCGGGGCUCACCCGAUCUCCUCCACCAGCGUGGCCACCAUCCUGAUCCCCUCUUUCUUCUCUACCAUGAGCGCCUACUCAGCCGAGAUUCGCCCGCGAGGAGAGGCAGGGAGCAGCAGCACGCCCUGGGCAUCCCGUGAGCCUGCCUAAUCCCGCUGUUGCCCUCCGAGAUUCGCCGACCAUAAGCAGUUCCGCGUGCACGGCCAUGGAAAGACCUCCAAGCCGCCGCCGAUUCGUGUACUUCGAGGCUGCCACCCACAACGAGGAACACGAGCGUGGUGCGUCGACGUGGCAAACCCGUUCUCCUUCCUCACUACCAUGUGCAGUUCGCCGAUGCCCGUCGCCAACCCAGUCCUUACGCGAACGACACAAUCUGGACCCUGGCAGCAGCCAUCGAUGGGAGCAUCGUGCAAAAAUAGUGUGUGAAACUAUCGUGGGCACAACAUUUCUGUUGGUUGUAUGAUCUAGAGUAGUUUCUUAGGUGGUGAUGUGCUACACUAGAUAUUACCUAAUGUUCUCCUGUGUACUCAGCUUGGGACUAGGCAGUAUGUUAUAGUGAAUUAAUAUACAGGUCGCACACACCUUGUGUUGGAUGCUUGAAAAAGCAAUGCAAAA